rnacentral:rRNA from 1 species
GAUGAACGCUGGCGGCGUGCCUAAUACAUGCAAGUCGAGCGAACGGACGAGAAGCUUGCUUCUCUGAUGUUAGCGGCGGACGGGUGAGUAACACGUGGAUAACCUACCUAUAAGACUGGGAUAACUUCGGGAAACCGGAGCUAAUACCGGAUAAUAUUUUGAACCGCAUGGUUCAAAAGUGAAAGACGGUCUUGCUGUCACUUAUAGAUGGAUCCGCGCUGCAUUAGCUAGUUGGUAAGGUAACGGCUUACCAAGGCAACGAUGCAUAGCCGACCUGAGAGGGGGAUCGGCCACACUGGAACUGAGACACGGUCCAGACUCCUACGGGAGGCAGCAGUAGGGAAUCUUCCGCAAUGGGCGAAAGCCUGACGGAGCAACGCCGCGUGAGUGAUGAAGGUCUUCGGAUCGUAAAACUCUGUUAUUAGGGAAGAACAUAUGUGUAAGUAACUGUGCACAUCUUGACGGUACCUAAUCAGAAAGCCACGGCUAACUACGUGCCAGCAGCCGCGGUAAUACGUAGGUGGCAAGCGUUAUCCGGAAUUAUUGGGCGUAAAGCGCGCGUAGGCGGUUUUUUAAGUCUGAUGUGAAAGCCCACGGCUCAACCGUGGAGGGUCAUUGGAAACUGGAAAACUUGAGUGCAGAAGAGGAAAGUGGAAUUCCAUGUGUAGCGGUGAAAUGCGCAGAGAUAUGGAGGAACACCAGUGGCGAAGGCGACUUUCUGGUCUGUAACUGACGCUGAUGUGCGAAAGCGUGGGGAUCAAACAGGAUUAGAUACCCUGGUAGUCCACGCCGUAAACGAUGAGUGCUAAGUGUUAGGGGGUUUCCGCCCCUUAGUGCUGCAGCUAACGCAUUAAGCACUCCGCCUGGGGAGUACGACCGCAAGGUUGAAACUCAAAGGAAUUGACGGGGACCCGCACAAGCGGUGGAGCAUGUGGUUUAAUUCGAAGCAACGCGAAGAACCUUACCAAAUCUUGACAUCCUUUGACAACUCUAGAGAUAGAGCCUUCCCCUUCGGGGGACAAAGUGACAGGUGGUGCAUGGUUGUCGUCAGCUCGUGUCGUGAGAUGUUGGGUUAAGUCCCGCAACGAGCGCAACCCUUAAGCUUAGUUGCCAUCAUUAAGUUGGGCACUCUAAGUUGACUGCCGGUGACAAACCGGAGGAAGGUGGGGAUGACGUCAAAUCAUCAUGCCCCUUAUGAUUUGGGCUACACACGUGCUACAAUGGACAAUACAAAGGGCAGCGAAACCGCGAGGUCAAGCAAAUCCCAUAAAGUUGUUCUCAGUUCGGAUUGUAGUCUGCAACUCGACUACAUGAAGCUGGAAUCGCUAGUAAUCGUAGAUCAGCAUGCUACGGUGAAUACGUUCCCGGGUCU